GACGAACGCUGGCGGCGUGCUUAACACAUGCAAGUCGAACGGAAAGGCCCUGCUUUUGUGGGGUGCUCGAGUGGCGAACGGGUGAGUAACACGUGAGUAACCUGCCCUUGACUUUGGGAUAACUUCAGGAAACUGGGGCUAAUACCGGAUAGGAGCUCCUGCUGCAUGGUGGGGGUUGGAAAGUUUCGGCGGUUGGGGAUGGACUCGCGGCUUAUCAGCUUGUUGGUGGGGUAGUGGCUUACCAAGGCUUUGACGGGUAGCCGGCCUGAGAGGGUGACCGGCCACAGUGGGACUGAGAGACGGCCCAGACGGCUACGGUACGCAGCAGUGGGGAAUAUUGCAGAAUGGGCGGAAGCCUGAUGCAGCAACGCCGCGUGCGGGAUGACGGCCUUCGGGUUGUAAACCGCUUUCGCCUGAGACGAAGCGUGAGUGACGGUAAUGGGUAAAGAAGCACCGGCUAACUACGUG
rnacentral:rRNA from 1 species